UACGGAGGGAGCUAGCGUUGUUCGGAAUUACUGGGCGUAAAGCGCGCGUAGGCGGCUUUGUAAGUUAGAGGUGAAAGCCCGGAGCUCAACUCCGGAACUGCCUUUAAAACUGCAUCGCUUGAAUCCAGGAGAGGUGAGUGGAAUUCCGAGUGUAGAGGUGAAAUUCGUUGAUAUUCGGAAGAACACCAGUGGCGAAGGCGGCUCACUGGACUGGUAUUGACGCUGAGGUGCGAAAGCGUGGGGAGCAAACAGG
rnacentral:rRNA from 1 species